rnacentral:lncRNA from 1 species
AUAGCCCAUGGACUUGCCCUAAAUACAGGGUCACCUUCGACGCAUCUGUUAUCUGGGGCCUAAUCGGACCAAGGAGACUUUUCGGACCAGGAGGGAUGUACCGUAACUUAGUGUGGUUGUUCCUCAUUGGAGCGUUCUUGCCUGUUCCUGUUUGGGUUUUGAGCAAAAUUUUCCCAGAAAAGAAAUGGAUUCCCUUGAUUAACAUACCGGUCAUAUCUUAUGGUUUUGCCGGAAUGCCACCCGCAACUCCCACCAACAUUGCAAGUUGGCUCAUCACUGGAACCAUCUUCAACUAUUUUGUGUUCAAGUACCACAAGCGGUGGUGGCAGAAAUAUAACUAUGUUCUAUCUGCAGCAUUAGAUGCUGGAACUGCAUUCAUGGGUGUUCUACUGUUCUUUGCUUUGCAAAAUGAAGGCCAUAACCUGAAAUGGUGGGGCACUGAAGUCGAUCACUGUCCUCUCGCAACCUGUCCGACAGCCCCAGGUAUCUCAGUUGACGGAUGUCCAGUUUUUAAAUAGACCAAAUCUACCACACACAACUGAUGGAAGAGUUGGAAGUCAAAGAAGAAAUG